rnacentral:ncRNA from 1 species
UUUUAGGGGUGCCCUUCCCGUUGGAUGGGCUGAGAUCAAACCCUUUCACCUGAACCGGGUAAUGCCGGCGUAGAGAAUAAA